UGCUUAUCAAGAGUGGUGGAGGGAAAGGCCCUGUGAAACCACAGCAACCGGCCGUCAUGGCGCCAGGUGCUAAUUCCUGCCGUCAGGCAAAGAUGAGAGGGUGUGCU
rnacentral:ncRNA from 22 species